CAUUACUGCGAAGAAGCAAUGUUUGCCUUCCUCAGUAUUUGUCAAACUCGCUGCUGCCGAUCCUGUGGGGCAGGCAGAGAAUGCCCUGCUGGCGAUCGGAAAGCAGACCACUUCCUCUGCAAACCUCAGAGUUGAGCGAAGUUAAUUCUACCCGGAACUUGGCAUUUUUCCUCCAGGAAGAGAACAUUCAAAGGUCGAUUACUUUCCGGACUGUCCCACUUUCAACAUAAACAUUAAAAUUCCUCAGCCAGAGAUGGUGGCGAUGUGUGCGAUCCCUGCACUCUGGGAAGCUGAGGCAGGAGGAUGGCAAGUUUGAGCCCAUCUGGUGCAACGUAGCAGCAGCCUGUCUUCACAAUAAAAAAAAAAAUGAUGACUAAAAGAGCUGCGGAUGUAGCUCAUCGGGAAGGCCCUGCUCUCAAUCCUGCAUACCAGCAAAAAUAAAAUGAAUAUAUAAAAAUAAAAA